rnacentral:rRNA from 1 species
AAUAUUGCGCAAUGGGGGAAACCCUGACGCAGCAACGCCGCGUGCAGGAAGAAGGUCUUCGGAUUGUAAACUGUUUUCGCAAGGGAAGAAGAAAAUGACGGUACCUUGCGAGAAAGUCAAGGCCAACUACGUGCCCGCAGCCGCGGUAAUACGUAGGUGACAAGCGUUGUCCGGAUUUACUGGGUGUAAAGGGCGCGUAGGCGGGAUAGCAAGUCAGAAGUGAAAUGCCGGGGCUCAACCCCGGAGCUGCUUUUGAAACUGUUAUUCUUGAGUAUCGGAGAGGAAAGCGGAAUUCCCAGUGUAGCGGUGAAAUGCGUAGAUAUUGGGAGGAACACCAGUGGCGAAGGCGGCUUUCUGGACGACAACUGACGCUGAGGCGCGAAAGUGUGGGGAGCAAA